rnacentral:rRNA from 1 species
GUCAAAGCCUAACGGCUUGUACUCAGCAACUUGAAGGAAUGUAUAGCUUCGGCUAAUUAUAUUGUUUGUUUAAUAUGUUUUAAUAUAUUAUUCUUUUUGAUUUUUAUUAGCACUUUCCGUCAAUUAACUUAUCAUUAUUUAUAUUAUAAUUUUUUUGUAAUUAAUAGUGAACAAUAUAAUAUCGAUUUUAUCGAAUAAAAUUCUAGGUAUAAUACUGAUUAUGACAAUUUUAUAUCUAUAUGUCUUGACUAAAUUACGUGCCAGCAGUCGCGGUAAUACGUAAAAGACUAGUGUUAUUCAUCUUUAUUAGGUUUAAAGGGUACCUAGACGGUGUAAUUAGUCUUAAAUAGGAUACGGUUACACUAGAGUUAGAUGUAAGAAGGGGAGUAUUUAUGGAGUAGAGUUGAAAUUCUUUGAUACCAUAAGGACUGGUAAGGCGAAGGCAACCUUUUAUGUAAUAACUGACGUUGAGGGACGAAGGCUUGGGUAGCGAACAGGAUUAGAUACCCUAGUAGUCCUUGCAGAGAAUUAUGAAUGCCAUAGAUUAGAUUUAUAUUUAGUCUAUAAAUGAAAGUGUAAGCAUUUCACCUCAAGAGUAAUGUGGCAACGCAGGAACUGAAAUCAUUAGACCGUUUCUGAAACCAGUAGUGAAGUAUGUUAUUUAAUUCGUAAAUACGCGAAAAACCUUACCACAACUUGAAUAUUUUCUUUUUUUUUUAUCUUAUUAAGAAGAUGAAAAAUAAAAAUAGUGUAUUUAAAACAUAUUAUUUUUAAAGAGAUUACAAGCGUUGCACGGCUGUCUUCAGUUAAUGUCGUGAGAUAUUGGUUAAUUCCAUUUAAUUAACGGAAACCCUUGCUUUAUUUAUGAUUUUUUUUUAUAAAAGAAAUAAGGCAGUUCAUCUUUAUAGGAGACAAGAUAAUAGGACCAAGACAAGU